GUUCUCCCUUCAGCAGCAUGUAUACUAAAAUUAGAGCAGCACAGAAGAUUAGCAUGGCCCCUGAGCAAGGAAAGCCACACAAAUCUGUGAUGUAUUCCAUGGUUUU
rnacentral:snRNA from 1 species